AGAAGAACUUCAGAUUGAGCCUCUUGAAACAUUUGCUCUUGGAAUUCUCCCUCUCAGGAAACUAACAGCCUGCUAUGAAGCCCAAGCCACAAAGAGAGGCCAAGGGGAAAUAAACAGAGUGUGAUUAUAUGCAAAACCUACAAGAAUGAGGACCUCCAAACUCAGUGUACAGAGUGAUUUUCUGCUGAAACAAUUGGAAAAUAAAAGAGACAUCAGUGUGUGAAUGACGACUUUCUGUUGCUGACUUGGAAGACAGAGGAAUUGGGUCAUGAGCCGAGGAAGGUGGGCAGCUUCUAAAAGGCGGAAAAGAACUGAAUUGAAUUCAAAUCAAAAAAGGUCUGAACCUCAUUUAAAAGAUGGUUUUGUAACUGAAGAAUUGAAAGGAUUUCUUUAUGAACUAGCAUCAUCUUAAGACAAAGGAUAAGGACCCUGAAGACAGCAUUAUAGUGAAUCCCAGAGGUGCUCUCCAAAAUGGUGCUAAUACAGCCAAGAAUACAGUGGCUGAAGUGAGAGGAAGCGAGGAUAUGGCUGACAUUCUCCAAGAAGCAGUGACUUCAGAAGAUGACUGGCAUCUUGAACUUCAGGAAAAUGCUUGGCCUUUUUAACUCUGAAAGUCUGUUUGAAACUCAGAAGAAGAAAAUUAGGUGAAUACAAAACUGCUGCCAAACUUAGAAACUUGGUUAAAUAUCCUGCAGAAAAUAUCAUGGGCUUUUCAGAGUCCAGUUAAAUAUCUACAGAUUAUAUUUCCAGUUUCAUACCUGGGGCAUUAACUCUAUUCAUUUUACUAGCUUUAGUGAAUUUUACUUCUGGAGCAUAACAUUGCAUUGAAAAUGUGUCCUCUAACCUAUGAUAUUUAUGUAUCGUUUAAUAUGAAAUUUAUGAGGUUCCAUUUCUGAUUUCCAAAUGGAUGCAAAUUAGAACACAGGAUAUUUACAUUCUUUCAUUUCUAACCCACAUACAUAAAGUUUGACUUUAAAAUGC
ensembl:lncRNA LINC02466 long intergenic non-protein coding RNA 2466